rnacentral:rRNA from 1 species
UCGGCUUAGAGUUUGAUCAUGGCUCAGGACGAACGCUGGCGGCGCGCCUAACACAUGCAAGUCGAACGGAGGAAGCCUUCGGGUGGAUUAGUGGCGAACGGGUGAGUAACACGUGAAUAACCUGCCCUAGAGUGGGGGACAACAUUUGGAAACAGAUGCUAAUACCGCAUAAGACCACAACCACAUGGUCAGUGGCCAAAGGAGCAAUUCGCUCUGGGAUGGAUUCACGUCCGAUUAGCUAGAUGGUGAGGUAAUGGCCCACCAUGGCAACGAUCGGUAGCCGGACUGAGAGGUCGAACGGCCACAUUGGGACUGAGACACGGCCCAGACUCCUACGGGAGGCAGCAGUGGGGAAUAUUGCACAAUGGAGGAAACUCUGAUGCAGCGACGCCGCGUGAGGGAAGAAGGUUUUCGGAUUGUAAACCUCUGUCUUCGAGGACGAUAAUGACGGUACUCGAGGAGGAAGCCACGGCUAACUACGUGCCAGCAGCCGCGGUAAAACGUAGUGGCAAGCGUUGUCCGGAAUUACUGGGUGUAAAGGGAGCGCAGCGGAAAUUCAAGUCAGAUGUGAAAACUAUGGGCUCAACCCAUAGACUGCGUCUGAAACUGGGUUUCUUGAGUGAUGUAGAGGUAGGCGGAAUUCCCGGUGUAGCGUGGAAUGCGUAGAUAUCGGGAGGAACACAGUG